GCCGGAGUGGCGGAAUUGGCAGACGCGCACGACUCAAAAUCGUGUUCCGUAAGGAGUGAGGGUUCAAGUCCCUCCUUCGGCA
rnacentral:tRNA from 1 species